UACGGGGGGGGCAAGCGUUGUUCGGAAUUACUGGGCGUAAAGGGCUCGUAGGCGGCCAACUAAGUCGGACGUGAAAUCCCCAGGCUCAACCUGGGAACUGCGUCCGAUACUGGAUGGCUUGAAUCCGGGAGAGGGAUGCAGAAUUCCAGGUGUAGCGGUGAAAUGCGUAGAUAUCUGGAGGAAUACCGGUGGCGAAGGCGGCAUCCUGGACCGGCAUUGACGCUGAGACGCGAAAGCGUGGGGAGCGAACAGG
rnacentral:rRNA from 1 species